rnacentral:rRNA from 1 species
AGAGUUUGAUCCUGGCUCAGGACGAACGCUGGCGGCGUGCUUAACACAUGCAAGUCGAACGAGGCCCAUCCUUCGGGAGAAGACCUAGUGGCGAACGGGUGAGUAACACGUGAGCAACCUGCCCCGAAGACCGGGAUAACAGCGGGAAACUGCUGCUAAUACCGGAUGCCCCCACCGGGCCGCAUGACCUGGUGAGGAAAGGAUCCUGCUUCGGGAGGGGCUCGCGGCCUAUCAGCUUGUUGGUGGGGUAACGGCCUACCAAGGCGACGACGGGUAGCUGGUCUGAGAGGACGAUCAGCCACACUGGGACUGAGACACGGCCCAGACUCCUACGGGAGGCGAC